UUAUACUUGUAUUUGGUACUACUGAUUGUGUUUUCCUUGAUAAAAUGUAGCAUACUCCAGGAAAAGUAAUACAUUUUCACCCCUUGUUAGAACACUCAUGUAAUUCAAGCAAAUAACACAAACACAGUCUGAAUUUCAGUCUUCUAGACCCGGUUUUCCCCAACAUCAGACUAAUUAGUUUUAUUCCAUCUAGCCAACACCUGCUUGAGAAGAACAUUUAGUGUCAUAAAACAAACCACCCACCAAGAAAUAAGGAAACUGAGAAAAGCCCACACACCAACGUCAUGUUGCCAAGCUCAGCUCUAAAACAAAGCCUUACAACACACCCUGGUGGAUUCUCUUGGAGGAAACUCCAUUUUCUAAUGGAUCCUGAGGAGUUCUGUCUUCUUUUUUACUCCUACUGGUGAUGACAGUGUGCAUUGGUGAUAAGGACUGGACAUUGACCUUGUGAUGAGAAAACAGAAUGGGGAAUGAAGCCUGUCCCUGGAAAUGCUGGACAGCUGAAGCCACGAUGACAAAGGAGAAGAUUAGAGGCAACUGAGACCUAACCAAGUCACGGACCUGGAAGAUGAAAAGAAGACGUGUAAGAAUGAAAUGGGAAAGAAAGAAGGACGAAGCUGAGCUAUGAGAAACCCAGCAGGGAAUGAGGACGUUGUGGCUGGCGUAUCUGCUACUGAAAUGCUGGAAUCUUACAGGAACUUUCUACCAAGGUCACACUGAGUGAGGAUAAUGCUCCGUGUGUGAAGACUGUGUCCCUCUUUGGCAUGUUUCAGACAGUGUCUGAUGUUGGAAAGAUGAAUCUAGGAAAAUGGUGUUGUAGGAUGCCUUCAAUUAAAAAACAAAUGAACAAGACCAGGGUCAGUCAGCACUGGAGAUCUGUAAGGAGGGGCAAGCUCCCUCUUGCAGAAACUGGAGCCAGGUGGGGUUCAGGACUGUGUAACAAACCUUGUACUAAGGAUGUUUGGCAGAGUAACAGGGAAUAAUUUGGGGUUCUCAUACUAAGUCCUUUGUUUCAGGGGUACUGGAAUGGUAAUGGGAAAUCUGAGGAGCAGCUCAGUCAGGAAGGGCCCAGGGAAUACUGCAUGUCUGGGUGAUGGGCACACCCCGAGAAUUCAGCAGUGCAGAGCCUCCCAUGGCUUCAUAGGAGCCUUGCUAGGAGUGGAUCACUGGAUCCCAGGAUUGGAAACUUUCUUAACCCCUGUGAUUAUUCCUCUAGUCCCACGAGCCUUUUUCCUCACAGU